CGAAGUCGCAAACUCGCGAGAGUAAGCUAAUCUCUUAAAGCCGUUCUCAGUUCGGACUGUAGGCUGCAACUCGCCUACACGAAGUCGGAAUCGCUAGUAAUCGCGGAUCAGCAUGCCGCGGUGAAUACGUUCCCGGGUCUUGUACACACCGCCCGUCACACCAUGGGAGUCGGAUAUGCCCGAAGCCGGUGACCUAACCGCAAGGAAGGAGCCGUCGAAGGUGGAGCCGAUGACUGGGGUGAAGUCGUAACAAGGUAGC
rnacentral:rRNA from 1 species